AGUACUCAUGAGAGGACUUAUGCUGUACCCACAGCGUAGCGACUAGAACUCGCAUAGGACUUCUUUUUAAGGAGAAAAAAAAUG
ncrna:unclassified sequences freshwater-2 RNA